rnacentral:misc_RNA from 1 species
AAGUCGUAACAAGGUCUCCGUUGGUGAACCAGCGGAGGGAUCAUUACAGAGUUGCAAAACUCCCAACCCUUUGUGAACGAACCUACCAGUUGCCUCGGCGGCGAGCCCCCUGGGCGGACCGCCGGAGGAAUACAAACUCUUUGCGUUACAGUAUCUCUGAUUACUUAUUCAAUAAGUUAAAACUUUCAACAACGGAUCUCUUGGUUCUG